rnacentral:rRNA from 1 species
GACGAACGCUGGCGGCGUGCUUAACACAUGCAAGUCGAACGGAAAGGCCUCUUUCGGGGUGUACUCUAGUGGCGAACGGGUGAGUAACACGUGAGUAACCUGCCCUUGACUUUGGGAUAACUUCAGUAAACUGGGGCUAAUACCGGAUAGAUGCUCCUGCUGCAUGGUGGGGGGUGGAAAGUUUCGGCGGUUGGGGAUGGACUCGCGGGUUAUCUGCUUGUGGGUGGGGGAGUGGCUUACGGAGGCUUUGACGGGUAGCCGGCCUGAGAGAGUGAGCGGCCGCAUUGGGACUGAGAUACGGCGCAGACUCCUACGGGAGGCAGCAGUGGGGAAGAUUGAGCAAGGGGUGGAGGCCUGAUGCAGCAGCGCCGGGUGCGGGAGUACGGACUUCGGGUUGUACACCGGUUUCGCUCAUGACGAAGCUUUGUGUGACGGUAGUGGGUGAAGAAGCACCGGCUAACUACGUG